UUAAAAGACAGUCAUGAGUUUUUAUGUCUAAUUUUGAUGGUUCGUUUUAUUUAAAAAAAAUAGUAUUUUUGUUGUUAUUAGAUGAUAAAACAUAAAUAGUAUUUUAUUUGUGACUUAUGUUUUUUAAAUUUUUUCAAAAAAAGUUAAAUAAAACGAAUAAUUAAAAUUGAAUACGGAAACUUAUAGCUACGCUUAAA
rnacentral:pre_miRNA from 1 species